CGGCCGCCCCGCCCCGUGCCGCAGCCAGCCCGCCACCCGGCGGGCACCGCAAGGGUGGCAGCCGCGGGCCGCCUGCGCUGAGCCGGCCACGGGCAGGCUGGGCCGGCGGGCGACCUAGAGAAUUCCCUCCUCCAGCACCGCCGCCACCAAGGUGGUGAACUUUCUGAGAAGAGGAACUGAGUCUUUAUUUAAUUUCUUCAUGCAGCUCUCUUGCAUGAUUAAGUUCUCAGAAGAUGUUUGCUGAUAUUAUAAAGUAAAAAGACUUGACCCCGAUGGCACAAAAGGAAGAGAAAGUCAGGAGAUGAGAUGG